rnacentral:rRNA from 1 species
CCUACGGGAGGCAGCAGUGAGGAAUAUUGGUCAAUGGGCGGAAGCCUGAACCAGCCACGCCGCGUGCAGGAAGACGGCCCUCUGAGUUGUAAACUGCUUUUGUACAAGGGUAAACCUGCAUACGUGUAUUCAUCUGAAAUUACUGUACGAAUAAGGAUCGGCUAACUCCGUGCCAGCAGCCGCGGUAAUACGGAGGAUCCAAGCGUUAUCCGGAUUUAUUGGGUUUAAAGGGUGCGUAGGCGGAUUGAUAAGUUAGAGGUGAAAUGGCCGAGCUUAACUCGGGAACUGCCUCUAAUACUGUUGAUCUAGAGAGUAGAGGCGGUAGGAGGAAUGUAUGGUGUAGCGGUGAAA